UGUUGUUGUUUUUUGCCCCCCCCUGUUUUUUCCUCCUUUUUUUUUUUUUUUUUCGGGUGGGCAGCUGAAAGGAGUCGUAGCGAGACAUGUUGUUUCGGCCUGGCAUUCGAGAGGGCCUAGUGCACUGUUCGGUUAACUUCUUGUGUCUGAGGUUUUUCCCUUCACUUUAACAUGAAUGAAGUUGACGGGUUAUAGGCAGUGUGGUAACUGAUUAUCACUAAAAGGUUUUUAUUGACAAAGGGACUUUUAGAUUGGUUCAGCUGCUGCUCACUAACUCUCACGUUCCUCUGCUCGCGAUGCGAUUCACAUAUCGAUCAAUUUAUUCAAAAGAUCCAAAGACAAAGAACAGGUACAUUAUGGUAUCAUUUUAUAUUAUAUUUAUAGUCUUAUUGUUAAUAGCUUCAGUCGCGUUGGAUUUAAUUUUUCAUUUGCUUGUUUAGCUAUGUAUGACAGUUAACAAUGUUGGUGCAUUACAAUUAUUUACGCUUGUAGGCCACUCCAACUCACUCGAUAUUUCAAAUAGAUUAGUGUGCUCUCUCAGAGCUGGGAGAUUUCAUCCUUAUUUUAACAUAUUACUCGAGACGGUGUUUCUCACAGCGUUCUACGGGUUCAUGCGUUCUCGGGUUCAUGCGUUCUUGCGUCCAUGCGUACACGUCUCCUACUCAGACUUUUUCCCCUACACGGGGUAUUUAAUUUUUCAUUUGCUUGUUUAGCUAUGUAUGACAGUUAACAAUUUGUGUAUUACAAUUAUUUAUGUGUGUUGGCCACUCCAACUCACACUCGAUAUUUUGAAUAGAUUAGUGUGCUCUCACAGAGCUGGGAGAUUUCAUCCUUAUUUUAACAUAUUACUCGAGUCAGUGUUUCCCACAGCGUUCUACGGGUUCAUGCGUUCUACGGGUUCAUGCGUUCUACGGGUUCAUGCGUUCUACGGGUUCAUGCGUUCUACGGGUUCAUGCGUUCUACGGGUUCAUGCGUUCUACGGGUUUAUGCGUUCUUGGGUUUAUGCGUUCUUGCGUUCAUGCGCAAAUGCGUACACGUCUCCUACUCAGACUUUUUCCCCUACACGGGGCCUGACUUUCGCUGAUGUCACCUUCUCUUGCAAGGCAUUUUUCCAUCUAAAAGCGAUAGCCUAGGAGCAGCUGUUACUAUUAUCAUUUCAAGAAUCAACAACUCUCUGUCCUUACGCUUCCAUGUUCCUUUAUCUCAAGCUUCGGCUACGCACGUCCCCGAAUCACCUGUUUAUUUGCGGCCUGCCAAUGACUAAAGGGUGGUUCAGAGUCCAUCUCGCGACGUUGGUAGAAGGGUGCGGCCUACCAUCUCCCCUCUACACUGGCCACUCAUUCCGGAUUGAGCGGCAACCACAGCGCCGAACAAGGGUUGCGGUCGCGUCUAUCAAACGGCUGGGAAGGCGGUCUUCCACAGCUUACGAAUCCUACAUCCGGUCGAAUUCAUGGUUCUUCCUUCAAGCGCACACAAUGCUCUAACGUCGGUUAAGGCAGGUUUAUCACGUUUGCUACUACAGCUGUUUUUGGCGGCCUGUUUCCAUUCUAGUUUUAGUCUUAGUGUCAAGGUGUCAUUUUUGUUUUUAUUAGUUUAGUCACGUUCAUACUCUUUCCAGUGAUAUCGAAAUUCCGUUUAGGUAUUAUCAAAGAUACAAGUGCGUAGAUUUGUAAAAAUAGGGUAAACGGUCGAAAAUUGAUGUAGUUAUGUCUCAAACUGUUGAAGUUCCAGUUGGACAAAAUAACGUUAUUACAGCUUAUGGCCUAGUUUAGGUCAACGGAAAUGAAGACAUUUUAGCAGUCUUAUUUUGUAAAACACUUUCAGUCUCGUUUGUAUUCGCCAACAACUUUGCACUACGUAUUUAAUGAUAGUUAUUGUCAUAUGACCAGCAUUGUUUUCCUCACGCGAUAAAGGUUCGUUGAUGACGACAUUUAGUCAUAAUUUUCGGUGUCAAAAGCAACACUAUUUGCAACUACUGGUGGUGGUGGUUAUCAGGUACUAAACUCAUAAAGCAAAAUUUGGCUAUAUAACUCAAGGUUAACCUGCAGCAACCCUGGCAAGUUUGACCACGUCGGUGGAUCAUCUAGAAAACACUCUUGAGUUCGGUGUCACGUUGGUGGCAUAUCAUGGAAAAAAUAAAACUCAAGGUUCGCAGCGGCGACCCCGGUGAGUGCGUUGACCAAAGCGCAGCGGUAACAACUCGGGCACUCGUGACUAUGACCACGUCGGUGGCACGUUAUCUAUUACUCAUGGUUGAAUGCGGUAACCCCGGUGAGUGCGUUGACCACGUCAACGCACAACUGGGGCACAACUCAGGCACUCGUGAGUUUGUUGCACACGUCAGUGCGGUACAACACAGAACUCAACGUCCUACAUCCGGUCGAAUUCAAGGUUCUUUCUUCAAGCGCACACGAUGCUCUCUAACGUCGGUUAAGACAGGUUUUACACGUUUGCAACCAUAGCUGUUUUUGGCGGCCUGUUUCCUUUCUAGUGUUGGUCUAGUCUUGUGUCAAGCUGUCAUUUUAGUUUUCAUUAGUUUUAGUUACAUUCAUACUAUUUCCAGUGUUAUCGUAAUUCCAUUUAGAUGUUAUCGAAGUUACAAGUGCGUAGUUUUGUUAAAUAAGGUAAACGGUUGAAAAUCGAUGUUAUGUCUGGAACAGUUGAAGUUCCAGUUGAACAAAAUAACGUUAUAAGUCUUUAUCGCCUAGUUUAGGUCAACGAAAAUGAAGAGACAUUUUAGCAGUCUUAUUUUCGUCAAACACUUUUUUGUCUUGUUUUAUUCGCCAACUAUAUUGUACUAUGCAUUUAAUCACAGCUAUUGUCACACACCCAGCAUCCACGUUGCGUCCAGUCUCGUUUUUCUCACGCGAUAAAGGUUUGUUGAUGACGACUCUUAGUCAUAAUUUUCAUUGCCAAAAGCAACACUAUUUGCAACUACCGGCGGUGGUGGUUAUCAGGUACUAAAUUCAUAAAGCAAAAUUCGGUUUCAUAACUCAGGUUAACCUGCAGCAACCCCGGCGAGUGUGACCACGUCGGUGGAUCAUCUAGAAAACACUCUUGAGUUCGCUGUCACGAAAGUGGCGUAACAUAGGAAAAUAAAACUCAAGGUUGCAGUGGCAACCCCGGUGAGUGCGUGACCACGUCGGUGGCACAUCAAGGGCACUCGUGAGUAUGACCACGUCGGUGGCACGUUAUCUAGUACUCAUGGUUUGACUGCAGUAACCCCGGUGAGUGCGUUGCCCACGUCGGUGGGAACAACUCAAGCACUCGUGAGUUCGUUGCGCACGUCGGUGCGGUACAACACAGAACUCUACGUUCGCUGCAGCAAAUCCGGUGAGUGCGUUGCCCACGUCGGUGGGAACAACUCAAGCACUCGUGAGUUCGUUGCGCACGUCGGUGCGGUACAACACAGAACUCUACGUUCGCUGCAGCAAAUCCGGUGAGUGCGUUGCCCACGUCGGUGGGAACAACUCAAGCACUCGUGAGUUUGUUGCGCACGUCGGUGCGGUACAACACAGAACUCCAUGUUCGCUGCAGCAACCAUGGUAGUGCGUUGACCACGUCGGUGGGCACAACUCAGGCACAUGUAAAUUUAAUUACCACGUCGGUGGCAUAAUAUCAAAAGCUCAAGUGCAGGGCACUCGGAGUCCAUUGACCACGUCGGUGUUCAACACGGAAGUUCACAAUAUUUGCUGCAGCAACACCGGUGAGUGCGUGACCACGUCGGUGGCACAGCAAGGGCACUCGUGAUUUCGUUGACCACGUCGGUGUUCAACACGGAAGUACACAAUAUUUGCUGCAGCAACACCGGUGAGUGUGUGACCACGUCGGUGGCACAUCAAGGGCACUCGUGAGUUCGUUGACCACAUCGGUGGUUCUGAGUGCGAAAGCACUCAGGUCACGCAGCGACCCCGGAGUGAAUCGACCACGGCAGUUGGUAUAGCACGAAAGCACUCGUGGCUCGCUGCGUAACAGCUGCAGAGUGCUCUAGAUUUCAAUUGAUCUCGCUGAUGGUAUUUUUAAGCUCAAUUGCUUUUACAUGAUUCAACGAUCCCGCUGACGGUUUUUAAGCUUAUCGUUUUACGGGAUUUACGAUUGACUCUUAAUAUGUCGUAUAUUGGGUAUGCCUUUUAUCUUCCAGAAGCAGUAUAGAUCCUUGUCCACUUCUUCUACGGCGGGUAUGUAUGCUCUCAUUACCCCCUUUCGCUAUUCUAUUUUGGGGACGGCUCCACCCUGCCAGUCCCGGCAGGACAUGCCGAGUUAUCACGUAUUUCCGGCGUAGGCCUACGUCCUCUCUUUUGGGGAAGGCUCCGCCCCUGCUAGUCCUGGCAGGAUACGCCGAGUCCGCACGUCACCCUGGAUCAGUGACGGGGCUCAUGCCAAAGAUUUACCAUGCAAAAUAUUCCCAUGUCGUUAUUUAAAUAAAUCCUGUUCAUACUUAUCGGUGAUCAAGUCUUUAUGGGAGAAAUUUUAAGCUUGCUGGUAGUUCUACCAUGAGGACUCAAAUCACGCGCGGCUGGCCACCAAUCACCAGCUACCAAUCACCUGCCUACACCUGCUCUAUAAAGAGUAGUCUAACAUGUUUUUGCUGCUCAGGUCUUCGUUCGACGCACCUCCAUCCACCCCACCACCACCAGGUCGGCCUCAGUCUACUUGUCCAGGGGAAGGCUCCGCCCCUGCUAGUCCUGGCAGGAUACGCCGAGUCCGCACGUCACCCUGGAUCAGUGACGGGGCUCAUGCCAAAGAUUUACCAUGCAAAAUAUUCCCAUGUCGUUAUUUAAAUAAAUCCUGUUCAUACUUAUCGGUGAUCAAGUCUUUAUGGGAGAACCAUCAGCAGUCUCAAAAGGAUCUCGACUUGCUUGAAAAGAUGUCGCACCUCUG
ensembl:lncRNA